rnacentral:rRNA from 1 species
ACAUGCAGUCGAACGCUUUUUCUUUCACCGGAGCUUGCUCCAUCGAAAGAAAAAGAGUGCCGAUCGGGUGAGUAACACGUGGGUAACCUGCCCAUCAGAAGGGGAUAACACUUGGAAACAGGUGCUAAUACCGUAUAACACUAUUUUCCGCAUGGAAGAAAGUUGAAAGGCGCUUUUGCGUCACUGAUGGAUGGACCCGCGGUGCAUUAGCUAGUUGGUGAGGUAACGGCUCACCAAGGCAACGAUGCAUAGCCGACCUGAGAGGGUGAUCGGCCACACUGGGACUGAGACACGGCCCAGACUCCUACGGGAGGCAGCAGUAGGGAAUCUUCGGCAAUGGACGAAAGUCUGACCGAGCAACGCCGCGUGAGUGAAGAAGGUUUUCGGAUCGUAAAACUCUGUUGUUAGAGAAGAACAAGGAUGAGAGUAGAACGUUCAUCCCUUGACGGUAUCUAACCAGAAAGCCACGGCUAACUACGUGCCAGCAGCCGCGGUAAUACGUAGGUGGCAAGCGUUGUCCGGAUUUAUUGGGCGUAAAGCGAGCGCAGGCGGUUUCUUAAGUCUGAUGUGAAAGCCCCCGGCUCAACCGGGGAGGGUCAUUGGAAACUGGGAGACUUGAGUGCAGAAGAGGAGAGUGAAAUUCCAUGUGUAGCGGUGAAAUGCGUAGAUAUAUGGAGGAACACCAGUGGCGAAAGCGGCUCUCUGGUCUGUAACUGACGCUGAGGCUCGAAAGCGUGGGGAGCGAACAGGAUUAGAUACCCUGGUAGUCCACGCCGUAAACGAUGAGUGCUAAGUGUUGGAGGGUUUCCGCCCUUCAGUGCUGCAGCAAACGCAUUAAGCACUCC